AUGCAAGUCGAACGCGAAAGUUCCCUUCGGGGGGCAAGUAGAGUGGCGCACGGGUGAGUAACACGUAGGUAAUCUACCUUUGGAUUGGGAAUAACCACCGGAAACGGUGGCUAAUACCGAAUAAUGCAGCGGCACCUAAUGGUGACAGUUGUUAAAGCGGGGGAUCGUAAGACCUCGCGUCUGAAGAGGAGCCUGCGGCAGAUUAGCUAGUUGGUAAGGUAACGGCUUACCAAGGCGAUGAUCUGUAGCCGGCCUGAGAGGGCGGUCGGCCACACUGACACUGACAUACGGGUCAGACUCCUACGGGAGGCAGCAGUCGGGAAUUUUGGGCAAUGGGCGAAAGCCUGACCCAGCAACGCCGCGUGAAGGAUGAAAUCCUUCGGGAUGUAAACUUCGCAAGAACGGGAAGAAUAAGUAAGAGUUAAUAUCUCUUACGAUGACGGUACUGUUUGUAAGCUCCGGCUAACUCCGUGCCAGCAGCCGCGGUAAUACGGGGGGAGCAAGCGUUGUUCGGAUUUACUGGGCGUAAAGGGCGCGUAGGCGGCCACCGCAAGUCGACUGUGAAAUCUCCGGGCUUAACCCGGAAAGGUCAGCCGAUACUGCGGGGCUAGAGUGCA
rnacentral:rRNA from 1 species